UGUAAUCAAUUAUUACUUAAUAUACACAUGCAAGUCUCCGCACCCCUGUGAAAACGCCCUUAAAUCCCCACUUGGGAUAAGGAGCUGGUAUCAGGCACAAUUAUUAGCCCAAGACACCUAGCUACGCCACACCCACACGGGAACUCAGCAGUGAUUAACAUUGAAUAUAAGCGACAGCUUGACUCAGUUAAAGUAAAAAGAGCCGGCAAAUCUGGUGCCAGCCGCCGCGGUUACACCACGUGGCUCAAAUUGAUCUCUUUCGGCGUAAAGCGUGAUUAAAGUUAUAAAAAAUUAUAAUCAAACUAAAACUAAGCUGUGACACGCUUGUGCUUAGGAAGACCAAAAACGAAAGUUAUUAUAAUAAACACU
rnacentral:rRNA from 1 species